rnacentral:rRNA from 1 species
UACGUAGGGUGCAAGCGUUAAUCGGAAUUACUGGGCGUAAAGCGUGCGCAGGCGGUUGUGCAAGACAGAUGUGAAAUCCCCGGGCUCAACCUGGGAAUUGCAUUUGUGACUGCACGGCUAGAGUGUGUCAGAGGGGGGGUAGAAUUCCACGUGUAGCAGUGAAAUGCGUAGAGAUGUGGAGGAAUACCGAUGGCGAAGGCAGCCCCCCUGGGAUAACACUGACGCUCAUGCACGAAAGCGUGGGGGAGCAAAACAGGG